UACGUAGGGUGCGAGCGUUGUCCGGAAUUACUGGGCGUAAAGAGCUCGUAGGUGGUUUGUCGCGUUGUUCGUGAAAACUCACAGCUUAACUGUGGGCGUGCGGGCGAUACGGGCAGACUGGAGUACUGCAGGGGAGACUGGAAUUCCUGGUGUAGCGGUGGAAUGCGCAGAUAUCAGGAGGAACACCGGUGGCGAAGGCGGGUCUCUGGGCAGUAACUGACGCUGAGGAGCGAAAAGCGUGGGGGAGCGAACAGGG
rnacentral:rRNA from 1 species